ACAAACAUGUAAGAGAUUCCUCAGCCUUGGACGCUUCCUUCUGCUCUUUGGAACCUGAUAAAAUUUUAAUAAUUAACUUGUAGCCUUCUCCUCUCAUUACAUAUGAAUUUGAACACAUGACAACCUAAAGAAGUAUUGAGCUGUUUUAAUACAGAUGAGCAAGUAAACUUAGGUCACCUCCACUGCCUCCAAUGGGUUGUUUCUUUUUGGUUUUGUUUUCUUUUCCAGACAGGGUUUCUCUGUGUAGUUUUGGUGCCUGUCCUGGAUCUUGCUCUGCAGACGAGGCUGGCCUCGAACUCACAGAGAUCCUCCUGCCUCUGCCUCCCGAGUGCUGGGAUUAAAGGCGUGUACCACCACCGCCGGGGCACGCUUUGUAAACUGUGCUUUUCCAUAAACAGUUUCUCAUUUAGUGAUGGGCUCCCAACAAUGUUGCUAAGCGACUGAGAAAGACUUCUUUUGAACUCCUGGGGUCUCCCAACCACACCAACAGGAAUUAAGAGGGAUUUAAGGCUCAUACAAAGAGGUACUGGCAUAGCAGAAAACGAUGGCCUCUGACCGACAAGGCGGCACCGAACCAGGCUCUGGGCUGCAAAGUCAAACAGAAAAAACGAUCCUACUUUGUGAAUACAGUUUUCACUUUGUCACUACUGAACCAAAGCUGCCCACCAGCUCUGCCGAGUAACAGAGCGGAAUCUCGGAGUCACAUCCAGCUUCCCUAUUCCUCCACAACAGGUCCUGCCAGGAUGCUCAGGAAUUCCCCUUCUGAGUCCCACAGGCCUUCCGGAAACACGAGAAACCAUGUGUGCCGCAGUCACCGCCUUUAGGUGCGCGUCCAAAAUAAACUCUUAACCCAAGCAAGGCUGUGAAUGAAGAUUGUAGCAAAAGACACCGGCGAAAUCUCAAGGUUACAUUUACCAACACGGCUACUGCAGAAACUUGCCUAAAACGUUAUUUUCCAACCUCAUUUAAUAAACCAAGCAGAAGCCAAGCCUGAGUGGUAAAUGCUUGUGACUGAUCUCGGCACAGAGGCAAAAGGAUGGCUGGAGGCCGACCUGGAUUACAUAUCAAGUUCCAGAGCAGUUAGACACAUAUAGCAAGAUCUAGUCUUGGAGAGAAAAGACAAGGAUUACGAAGAAGCUCUCUGCACAGCGCCUGUCUUCGCCUGUAAUCACUGAGCCUUCAGACUAAUAAUAUGGCUGGAAAGCACUGGCCUGGGGAAUCUUUGGCAACAGCCCAAAAGAUUCCGAGCAAAGACUCCUGAGAAGGUCAAAGCCCUGGGUAACAGCAGGUGCGAGCGGGCAGUAAUAAAAACACCUGGUGGCAGGGGACUGGCCUAAGCGCUUUUCGUGUAUUAACUAAUUUAACACCAACGACCUGGAAGAUCCCGCCAUCAACCCCACCCUAAGUGUGUGGAACACAAGAACGCCUAAGCAGCCUGAAUGAAACAUUAACACAGCCAAGAACUGAUGGAGAUGCCACGGCGGACAGCCUCCCGUGGCUCUCCCACGGCUCACACAGAAGCUCCCAGAGGCCCCUCGGCCCUGGCCAGCUCUCCCUCCAUAUGUUUGCUCUUGAUGCCUUAAAUCGCAUCGCUGUAAAGCAAAGGACGACGGAGUGUCUCCAUAGGACGCAGAGGAAAGCCAGCCUCUGUCCUGAGGACGCCCUUCCCGACAGUCUCAUGUACCCACGACGUCCUGGACCAGAGACCCGACACGGACAAAGAGUCCAAAGGAGACACAUAAAGUAACGACAAGCCUGUUUCCUCCUAAGAAAUGAUGACCUCGAGAUACAGCUACAACCGAUAAUAAGGCACCACGGCAGUCCCUUUUCUUCUGGCUUCUCGGGCCAAGAACACCCCACGUCUGGGAGGAACCGCGGAACCUGGACCAGCGGAGCCAGUUCGGCCGCAUCAGUAGUUCUCCUUCCAAGCCUCUCAGGGAGCUUUUCUCCAUCCCACCUAGCUGCAUCUUCUCCCGAAACUCUGUCCUGCCUGCCCCAAAGCAGUCCCGCUCCAUCCCCGGCCUCACACCUCAGCAUCCUUCUCGGAGAGAAUAAAUGGCCUGACAAGUCCCCCAACUCCCCACGAGGUUCUAAGAGCUACCAAAACCUUUUUUUUCCCCUCCCGAUUUCCCCUACUGGCUACAGCAGUAGAGACGACAGCGCUGUUUCCUUCAGAAAUGUAAGAACGGAGAUAGGAAGAAAGCACAAACACACACACACACACACACACACACACACACACACACACAAAGGAAAUUUUAAAAAUAUGGUAACAACAAAAGCAAACUCGGGACAAAAGGGAAAAAAAGCCAGACUUCCACACCCUGGCAAGAACGGCUGCUUUCCAUACAGAGUGGUCUCCUGAAAGAAGAGAAAACGCACACGUUAGUUCUGGACCCCUGCCCUCUAGCCCAGCACCUCUCCUCUGGGACCCUCCGCUGCCUCUAGAAAAAGAAAAGGGUCGGGGCUGUUUGUGUCAGCUUCCAGGUGUGCUCGGCUGGCCCGCGUCCCUGCCCCUGGCUGCCCACUUACUUAGCUCACAGUUGGGAGCAGCUGCAGCUCCACUUGGCUGCCUCUUCCCCAUGGUGCAGAACUGGUUAGGCUAACCCCGGAGCCGCGCAGCCUCUAUAUAUGCGGACUAGUGCGCCUCCCUUGGUUAGAAACGAGACUUGAGGUAGGUCAAGACUGAGAAAAAAUUCAAACCGCACCCUCCAAAGCAUAAUCAAAUUUCAUCUUUGACCGGCCAUGAAAGGGAAGCAUUGUAUUUCUGCCACUCCUAGUUAUUAAUAAUAUUAAUUGAGUUCAAGUUUUCUUCUGAGAUUUCAUUUCUGUGCCAUUCCGAAGGGCAGGACCUGGAGGCAAUGGGUGCUGGUGGCUGAAAUGGGUGGGUGGAGGGAACUGCUUUCCUCUGGCCGCCACUCCCUCCCCUGGGAGUCAAGCUGGUUCGGGGACUAGGACUCUGCCCCUCUGAGAGGGAGGUAAAACCAAUUAACCCAAACCCUGACAGUCCGCAUGUAUUUUCCACAUAGUACGUGCGAUACUGAUGCAAUUAUGAGGCGUCUCAAAGUGUAGGUGGAAACGCCGCCUGGUCUAUUUCUCUGGAUCUGAAGGAGCCGAGGGCAUGAGCUGGUCAAUCAGUGAUCAGGAGGCAGACAACAAAGUGAGGCAGAUCAGAACUUAGUACCCGAUGGAAAAGAAAAAAAGGCCUGAGACAGCAAAACAGAAAUCUAGGGCAAGAAUUUCUCGGUGUGGAAUGGGGGAAAUUUGCCUCCUGGAAACAACUGAGACUAUCAAGAAUAAAUGGAAAGAAACGCAGUUGGCUCAAAUUACCAAGCAAGGUUGCACGGUGAAGCAUGGCAAUGCUAGGAACCAGGGAUUUUCUGAGCAGCACCCGGAUGAAAGCCCUGGUGCUGGGCUCGCUCAACCUACCUUAAGAUAUGAUCUGCUCCCAAUCCUACUUGCUAUCAGACCGUUCCCCAAGGCAAAGUGGCCUCUGCAGAUUAAGCCGGGGACAAGUUGUCCUCCUCAUAAAUGGAAGUACCCAUCCAUGAAAUAAAAUCUGGCAGAGAAAAGA